UACGUAGGUGGCAAGCGUUGUCCGGAAUUAUUGGGCGUAAAGCGCGCGCAGGUGGUUUCUUAAGUCUGAUGUGAAAUCCCCCGGCUCAACUGGGGAACUGCACAGGAAACUAGCGGGCUUGAGUUCGGGAGAGGGAAGCGGAAUUCCGGGUGUAGCGGUGAAAUGCGUAGAUAUCCGGAGGAACACCGGUGGCGAAGGCGCCGCUCUGGGCCGUGACUGACGCUGAGGAGCGAAAGCGUGGGUAGCAAACAGG
rnacentral:rRNA from 1 species